rnacentral:lncRNA from 1 species
GGGAACGUUUAUUGCCUGCUGAAUCCAGAGCUGGAAACCAGGUCCAUUCUGUUCUGCAUCAGUAGAAACCAUACCUGUUUGCCAUUGUGAGUUACAGAUGACAGAAUGGUCCUCAGUGUCUUGAAGCCCAUUGCGAUGUCCAAUAGGUGAGCAGCAAAGAAGAAGUUAUUGUAGUGGCCCAGGACUGACAUGGUUGUAUACCAGGCAAGGUAGAGAAAGGACUGGGAAUGGAAGAAAGCAGACUUUUAAGCAUUUUUGCCUCAUAAUGUGCUCAUUAAACCAUUUUUUCUUAUUUUGGGGGACACACUGAGGAUAGAGGGGGUUUAGGUGCUGAGGUGCUAUGAGCUGGCCCAAGAUCUGCUAAGUGAGCCCCAUCUACCUUAUACCAUUGUCUAAGUGUUCCCCCAGCACGUAUAAGGCUCUUGGUCUUUGAUAAGCAAUCCCUGAACCCUUCUGAGCAUCCUGCAUAGCUUGCUUC